CUCUGGCCUCAAAUCAGGUAGGAUUACCCGCUGAACUUAAGCAUAUCAAUAA
rnacentral:rRNA from 1 species